rnacentral:rRNA from 1 species
GAUGAACGCUGGCGGCGUGCCUAAUACAUGCAAGUCGAGCGAACAGAUGAGGAGCUUGCUCCUCUGACGUUAGCGGCGGACGGGUGAGUAACACGUGGGUAACCUACCUAUAAGACUGGGAUAACUUCGGGAAACCGGAGCUAAUACCGGAUAAUAUAUUGAACCGCAUGGUUCUACAGUGAAAGGCGGCUUUGCUGUCACUUAUAGAUGGACCCGCGCCGUAUUAGCUAGUUGGUAAGGUAACGGCUUACCAAGGCAACGAUGCGUAGCCGACCUGAGAGGGUGAUCGGCCACACUGGAACUGAGACACGGUCCAGACUCCUACGGGAGGCAGCAGUAGGGAAUCUUCCGCAAUGGGCGAAAGCCUGACGGAGCAACGCCGCGUGAGUGAUGAAGGUCUUCGGAUCGUAAAACUCUGUUAUUAGGGAAGAACAAAUGUGUAAGUAACUGUGCGCGUCUUGACGGUACCUAAUCAGAAAGCCACGGCUAACUACGUG